rnacentral:rRNA from 1 species
CCUACGGGGUGCAGCAGUAGGGAAUCUUCCACAAUGGGCGAAAGCCUGAUGGAGCAACGCCGCGUGGGUGAAGAAGGUCUUCUGAUCGUAAAACCCUGUUGUUACAGAAGAAAGUGCGUGAGAGCAACUGUUCACGUUUCGACGGUAUCUAACCAGAACGCCACAGCUCACUACGUGCCAGCAGCCGCGGUAAUACGUAGGUGCCAAGCGUUAUCCGGUUUUAUUGGGCGUAAAGGGAACGCAGGCGGUCUUUUAAGUCUGAUGUGAAAGCCUUCGGCUUAACCGGAGUAGUGCAUUGGAUACUGGGAGACUUGAGUGCAGAAGAGGAGAGUGGAACGCAAUGUGUAGCGGUGAAAUGCGUAGAUAUAUGAAAGAACACCAGUGGCGAAGGCGGCUCUCUAGUCUGUAACUGACGCUGAGGUACGAAAGCGUGGGUAGCAAACAGGAUUAGAUACCCUUGUAGUC